CCUUGUAGUGGGACUUCAGUGCCUUCAUCUACUGCCUGAUGUUAUGGAUCUUCUUGGCGUCCUGCGUCUCACCAGUUUAUAAACACUGACAGGAAACGCCGCCGGAAGUGCUCACCGGGGACAGCGCUGAUUGGCCAGACGCUGUUUCAUGUGACCCAAGCGGACUGACCCACAUUGGCGGCCAUAGUUGUGAGGGAGCUGUGGUGCUGAGGAGCUGCUGGGAAGCAGAUAGUUGAUGAUUUAAACCGCCUGGAAGUUAAUCUGCAACUACACUCAUAACUGUUUCAUUCAUGAUUACAGUAAUUUUUCAAGCAGAAAUUGACUAACUUGGUUCAAUAAAGAUCUUUCUUUGCUCCUGUUGGUCACAUUAUUGGAAACAAUACUGGAAAAAGGAAUUCCAAAAGGAUUUUUUUUUUUUUUUUUUACCAAUUUCUGAUAUUUUAUAGACUACAUUCUCUGUAAAAUGAAUUGCAGUCCUAGGGUUUAAUUAUUAUUAGAUAUUACGUGUACUUAAGUAUUAAAAGUUCAAGUAAAUUUAACAUUUUCACAGAUAUUAACUUGAAGGCCUAUUUAGAGCCCGAUACUGGCCUAUCAUGGAUGUCACAAUGUUAUCCCACACUUGGAAUUAUUUCUGUUUUUUAAAUUACAAGUGAAGUGUAUUGAAUCACUGCACUGAUGUAAUUGAUAAAUGGAAGCUAUCCAGCCUGCGUUACAUAUGUACGAACAUUUUGUAUAUAAGGGCUGCACAAUAUAUGAUUUCAGCAUCAGCAUCACAAUGUACGCAUAAUAGCAAAAAUAGUUUAAAGAAGAACAAUACUUUGUAUUCACCUUUAAAAUAAAGGUCCUCUUUAUUCAUUAAUUCAUUGAUUCAUUCAUUCAUUUAUUCAUUCAUAUAUUGGUCCAUGUUCCUCUGAAUUUGGAAAUUAGUAUCUCAUUAUGACAGCUGUGUAAAUCUAGAAUACACAUUAUGGAGUUAAUACAGUGAGGUUGUUACAGUCUGUGACGCCAUGAUAGCAGGAUUAAUCCACACCCUUGAUAUU